rnacentral:rRNA from 1 species
AUUGAACGCUGGCGGCAUGCUUUACACAUGCAAGUCGAACGGUAACAGGCCGCAAGGUGCUGACGAGUGGCGAACGGGUGAGUAAUGCAUCGGAACGUGCCCAGUCGUGGGGGAUAACUACUCGAAAGAGUAGCUAAUACCGCAUACGAUCUAUGGAUGAAAGCGGGGGACCGUAAGGCCUCGCGCGAUUGGAGCGGCCGAUGUCAGAUUAGGUAGUUGGUGGGGUAAAGGCUCACCAAGCCAACGAUCUGUAGCUGGUCUGAGAGGACGACCAGCCACACUGGGACUGAGACACGGCCCAGACUCCUACGGGAGGCAGCAGUGGGGAAUUUUGGACAAUGGGCGCAAGCCUGAUCUAGCAAUGCCGCGUGCAGGAAGAAGGCCUUCGGGUUGUAAACUGCUUUUGUACGGAACGAAACGGCUCUGGUUAAUACCCGGGGCUAAUGACGGUACCGUAAGAAUAAGCACCGGCUAACUACGUG